UGAUAACCCUAGAGAGCACUGAACUCCGCCGUAUGGCGCCGCAAUCCUUCUAUAUAAAACCCAGCUUUCACUUCCCUGCCUCUACGUUUCUUGGCUGGAAGGCACAUUCCUUUGCUGAGCUCUUUGAUUUGAAAUCGCAUAAUGUUUCGUUUUGGAGCUUGAUUAUCCUGUUAAUUACCACCAUUUAGCCGAUCGUUUGCUCCAAUUUUUGUAUGUUUUAAGAUUAACAUCUCAAAUCGUUUGCUUGAUUUUUUGGGUUUUGUUCGUUCGUUCUUUUUGCCUACGGCUUGUGAAAGUUGUUCGUUCGUUCUUUCUUUUGCAUCUGUUCUUUCUUUUAUGUUCUUAAUGGGAUCUUCUGUGUGAACAUGUUUUGUGUAUUUAUGUUCAUAUGUUCAUUUCUGAUAAUGGUAGGAGACUGUAUAAUUUGAUAUUUCGUUGAUCUCCUGUGAGAUACACUGACUAAAUGUUUCUUUUUCUGCGGAUUUAUUUCGAGGAAAAGUUACCAAAUGUUAUGGAGAUUAUCUGAAUCUCAACGUUGUUCUGUUUUUAAUUAUCUGGCUGUAGAUUAUGUGAUUAUGUGCUUAUGGACGGUCUUGUGCCAAUUCAUUAUCGUUAUUGGUACAUAACAAAUACCUAAGCUACACUACUGCCAUGUUGUCUUUUGAAUUUCCUUCUACAAAGUGAGGUGAAACUAUGUAUACUAUGGCAUAUAUCUAUCUACAUACACACAUCCAAGCCGAUAAUUUUGUGGUUUGUCUGUUACAUUGUGCUUAUGGACUCUACACUUUUGAUACCAAUCAUGUUUGUCAAGUUUUUCUACGCUCCAUGGUAUGGAAGAUAUCUGAAUUUCAUAUUGUUAGAUUUCACCUCGGUACUUAUCUCCAACCGAGGUAUGAAGCAUUCCUUAAUAAGGGUGUGGAAAUCUGCAGAUGUGUUUUAAAACCGCAAGGCUGAUGGCGAUAUUUAGCGGGCCAAAACGGACAAUAUUUGUUAUCAGUGUGCUUUGGUCGUUGGGUAUUAGAGCUUGACACUAGGCGGUGUGCCAAUGAGGACGUUGGCCCCCAAGGGGGUGGAUUGUUAUAUGAAGGGAAUGAAGCAAUUCUUACAAGGGUGUGUAAACUUUUCCUUAAGAGAUGUGUUUUAAAAUUGUGAGGCUGAUUCCAAUAUGUAAUAGAUGGGUUGGAUCCCACAUCGAUUUUGCUAGCUGUGGACUUGGGGCUGUUACACUUUAACUUAUGCAUGUUUCUAUUUAUGUGACUGUCGUUUGUGAUGUGCUUUAUAGAUGGGUUAGUAUUCAUUGCCUGCAUUAGUGUCUUGCAUCUUGUUGUUCAAGUUCUUUCUUUUGAAAUUUUAGGAACAGCUCUCAUUGCAUUAGGAAAUAUCUGAAACAAAGCUGUUUGUAGAUAUGGGUUAUGCUAUCCAUAAAUAUGGAUAUUGUUUGAAACCAAUGUGCUUAUGGACGGUCUUGUGCUGAUUAGAUUCUUAAGCCAUCAGCACAUAACAAAAGCCUAAGCUAUAUGUAUGCCGCUUUGUGUCUCUAGCUUUUCCUUUCGAGUUUAUAUGAGGAAAAACUUUCUACAUUGUGGCUACAUUCAUAUUUUUCUUGGUAAUUUGAGAUUUUCAGGUUUAUCAAGAGCUCUUUUGAGCUCGGUCUUUGGCCCCUUCACGGAUAGCGUUGGAUCCUCUUGUGUAGCUUAUCAGGGAGGAGGGGGGAUGGGUGGGUAUUGUUUGCUUGCAGGCACGUCCAAAGAGAAGAGCACUCUUCGUAGACACACAUGAACAUCCUUGGAGUUAGAAGGACGUUUCUACUUGAUUUGAGAAGAAAUGGAAGGUGGAAAAUGGAGAAAAAAAUGGCAGAAACAAGAUGAAGAACACAGGUGUGGAGCUGAAAAAAUGGAAUUAAGAUGAUUGUCAUAGAAUUUGAAGUUAUAUAUAGUUUAAGUUGUAGGUUAAAAGGCUUGGCACAUUACCAGUUUUUCAAUUUAGUUCCUUUGAUUCAAGCUUAAUUUGAGUCCAUCUCAAUUCAGUAUUGAAGACUUAAUUUAGUUUCAUGAAUCAACCUACUUGAAUAUCUACUAAAAUAUAUUUAUAUUAAAUGGGGUGUGGAUAGGGGCGGAGAUUUAGGCGGUGAUGGAAGGCGGGGAAUACAAUCUUGUCCAGAACCCAUUCUCUACUCCUUCCAACAUUCUCUAGAAAACGGGGAAUAGAUUCUUGCCUCCAACUCAUCCCCUAGUCCCUUCGACAUUUUCCAUAAGACGAGGAAUACAAUCUUGGCCCCAACUUUCCAUCUAAAUGGAGAAUCUCUAUUAGUUUAGGUCUGGUCUAUAACUCCUUUCUCAGAUAAAAUAGACAUCUUUAGGUUAACCCAGGAGUAUCAAUGAUUAAGAAAUACUUUUUCAUUGGAUUAAAUAUUAUUAAGUUUUCAAAAGUUUACCGCCUCUACUUCAUCAACAAAUCUGGGGGCUUGAUCUUCUACAAGGUACUCAACCCAUUGAAACCCCUCCUUUACGCAAUUCGAAAUUCAGAUUUCUGUCAACUCCCAAGAUUUCAGUUUUUGAUCUCACAUAGGAAUGUGAUUAUGAGAUUUUCAAUCCACAUUUUACUGAUUCAUAAAUCCAUUUUGGAUUGAAUCUCUUAAUGGGUUCGUUUUGAAAUAUGGAUACGAACGAUAGCUUGAGAGUGGCGAGUUUAUGGCAUUCGAUGCAUAUGCCAUUUCCCAGCACCCUUCGCCUAUAGCCGGCUGUUUGGGUGUUCAACUCAUUGAGGCUGAUGCAUUCCACCUCCAUUGCUUCCACUCACUUACUGAAAGGAAGUAGAGUUAAAGACUGUUUAGAGGCCCACAUGAACGACUUUUGAUCUAUAGGAUCAAUCAUUUCUCUAGUAUCGACCUAUAAAAGAGACAACAUGAGGUCUCACAUCAGUUGGAGAGGAGAACGAAAUAUAUCGUAGGGUGUGAAAACCUCUCUCUAGUAUACAUGUUUUAAAACCAUGAGGCUGACUGCGAUACGUAACAAGCUAUGGAUUUCAAUCUCGCCGACCGAGUCGAUCAAGGAGCUAAUAUAUGACCAGCAACCACAGCCAUGGUAAUGAGAAUCCUCAAUUCCCUCUUCCUCUCAACCAACCGGCUCGCCGUCGGUUGACAGAAUGCCUCUCCUCUGGGUGCAUCCCUUUCAACCUCGACCAUAUUGGCAUAGUCUCUUUUGUUGAAGUAAUAACUCGCCUGCUCAAACGCUUCCCGGACCUGGCUGCAACCAAUUCUGCAAUUCUCAAGUGCAGCUCUUGUUGCUGGAUCAGAUGUCCUAGCUUGAAGCUGCUCUAUGAACUGAUAGGUAUUGGACGCAUUUCUCAAAACUUGGUCAUUUGCUAUCAAGGGUCACCCAUGACAGGAUGAACAAUGAAGAACACGAAGAACAUGAAGAACAAGGAUAGCCGUUGCGAAGAACACGCCGAGAACGCCAUGAUUCCGUUGCUGCUAAUGUUGGAAGCAAGGUAAGAGUUACUUCUUUUGGUUCAUGAUAUCAUUUUAAAUACUAGCCCAAAUUGAAGUAUGAUAAAAAGAUAUACAUGAAUGAAUUGGUUGUUUAUUAGGUAGAAUGGGUGAGGCAAAUCUGAUAUGAAUACCAAAGAGGGGUAUUUCAAUUCCUUCCUUAAAUGUUAUAAUACCCUUUUCUAAACUUCCUUGAUUGGCUUUUCAUUUCCAUAUAUCCCCAAAUUUUUACAACUUUAUCUCUUUUGUAUGUUCCCGA